GGGGAGAUUCCCGAGUGGCCAAAGGGGACGGACUGUAAAUCCGUUGGUGUAUGCCUUCAUAGGUUCGAAUCCUAUUCUCCCCA
rnacentral:tRNA from 1 species